UGGCGGACGGGUGAGUAACGCGUGGGUAACCUGCCCCAUACAGGGGGAGUAACAGAUAGAAAUGUCUGCUAAUACCGCAUAAGACCACAGCACCGCAUGGUGCAGGGGUAAAAACUCCGGUGGUAUGGGAUGGACCCGCGUCUGAUUAGCUGGUUGGUGAGGUAACGGCUCACCAAGGCAACGAUCAGUAGCCGACCUGAGAGGGUGACCGGCCACAUUGGGACUGAGACACGGCCCAAACUCCUACGGGAGGCAGCAG
rnacentral:rRNA from 1 species